rnacentral:misc_RNA from 1 species
GAUGAAGAACGUAGCGAAAUGCGAUAAGUAGUGUGAAUUGCAGAAUUCAGUGAAUCAUCGAAUCUUUGAACGCACAUUGCGCCCUUUGGUAUUCCAAAGGGCAUGCCUGUUCGAGCGUCAUUUGUACCCUCAAGCUUUGCUUGGUGUUGGGCGUCUUGUCUCUAGCUUUGCUGGAGACUCGCCUUAAAGUAAUUGGCAGCCGGCCUACUGGUUUCGGAGCGCAGCACAAGUCGCACUCUCUAUCAGCAAAGGUCUAGCAUCCACUAAGCCUUUUUUUCAACUUUUGACCUCGGAUCAGGUAGGGAUACCCGCUGAACUUAAGCAUGUCAAUAAGCGGAGGA